rnacentral:rRNA from 1 species
GAUGAACGCUGGCGGCGUGCUUAACACAUGCAAGUCGAACGGGAAUUACUUUAUUGCAGCUUCGGUCGAUUUCAUUUAAUUCUAGUGGCGGACGGUUGAGUAACGCGUGGGUAACCUUCCUUAUACAGGGGGAUAACAGACAGAAAUGGCUGCUAAUACCGCAUAAGCGCACAGAGCUGCAUGGCUCGGUGUGAAAAACUCCGGUGGUAUAAGAGGGACCCGCGUUGGAUUAGCUUGUUGGUGGGGUAACGGCCCACCAAGGCGACGAUCCAUAGCCGGCCUGAGAGGGGGAACGGCCACAUUGGACUGAGACACGGACCAGACUCGUACGGGAGGGAGCAGUGGGGAAUAUUGCACAAUGGGGGAAAACGUGAUGCAGCGACGCCGCGUGAAGGAAGAAGUAUCUCGGUAUGUAAACUUCUAUCAGCAGGGAAGAUAGUGACGGUACCUGAAUAAGAAGCCCCGGCUAACUACGUG